rnacentral:rRNA from 1 species
ACGGAAGGCAGCAGUGGGGAAUAUUGCACAAUGGGCGUAAGCCUGAUGCAGCGAUGCCGCGUGAGGGAAGAAGGUUUUCGGAUUGUAAACCUCUGUCAACAGGGACGAAAAUGACGGUACCUGUGAAGGAAGCUCCGGCUAACUACGUGCCAGAAGCCGCGGUAAUAAGUAGGGAGCAAGCGUUAUCCGGAAUUACCGAGUGUAAAGGGAGUGUAGGCGGGACUGUAAGUCAGAUGUGAAAUAUGCCGGCUCAACUGGCAGACUGCAUUUGAAACUGCGGUUCUUGAGUGAAGUAGAGGUAAGCGGAAUUCCUAGUGUAGCGGUGAAAUGCGUAGAUAUUAGGAGGAACAUCAGUGGCGAAGGCGGCUUACUGGGCUUUAACUGACGCUGAGGCUCGAAAGCGUGGGGAGCAAACAGGAUUAGAUACCCUGGUA